rnacentral:lncRNA from 1 species
ACAUAUCUUCUCUAAAACAAAAUAAACAGACAUGUUUCCUUCACAAUUCUACAGCACUCAAAUCAAACAAAGCUAGGGUAUUGCCUUUCUGCCCCAAUUGCUGAUUAUCCCCUCUACUGCGUCUUCCUUCUUCUUUUACGCGGUAUAUUCUUUCUCCUUCUUUCUUCUUCUUUUCUAUUCUUUUUUUGCCCUAUUAAAUUUUAUAUUUUGUGUAAUACAAAAUCUAAUUUUUAAUCAUUGAUUCUAGGGUUGUCCCACAUUUUGAUCUCUAUUCUCUUUGCAACUUGUGCUUUCCAAAAUUUCAAAGGCUAAGCCCCAACAAAUCGACAAGGUAUGUGGUCCUAUUUUCUUAUUUUUAGUUUCUUAGUGCGGAUAAUAUCCU